rnacentral:sRNA from 20 species
UAUACUGGAUGAAAGCCCUACCUCUCUCUCAUCAAUACGGUUCCUCUGACCGCUCCUUGAUACACUAGCAUGCGUAUCAC